rnacentral:snRNA from 1 species
AUCUGUGUUUUAGAUAAUGUUAACAUAAACUUUAAUACAUUUUGAAAUCUAUUCUUAUCAGUUUAAUAUCUGAUGUGUCCCCCAAUGUGGGGACUGCAUAUUAAAUGCAUUUGUGGAACAGGGAGAUGGGCUAGGAGCUUGCUCCAUCCACUCCAUGUAUGGGCCUGGUAUUGCAGUGCCUCUAGGAAAAAAAGGCAGCCUCU